AAUUCAUCCGAAAACUCAAGUUAUGGCUCCAACCAUUACUACAAACAAAUCCGCUUACUUACUGCUUUUGAUUUGGAAGCGCCGCCUUCAACUCCUUACAACUCCUUCAUAAGAACUCCAAAAGCAAUAAUUCUUUCAUAAAAAAUGUAAGCCUUAAAAUCGCCAUUCCAAUCGCACCUUCCGGUCUUCAAAAUCUGCUAUAAAACUCCUCAUAUCUUCAAAAGAGUAACAGUAUGUCUUAAAUAAAUAUCUUAACUUCAAAUGGCUAUAAUUUCUUCACCCUCAUUCCAAAUUCUCUAAUUUUUGUACAAAAAUUGUACCCCAAAUCCUAAACUUUAUAACUCUAG
rnacentral:lncRNA from 1 species